CGCGGCUGGGGGCCGGGUCCGCAGUCCGGCCCCGGCCCUCAGUCGUGCGUCAGAUCACCGACGGGUCGCCCGCCGUUCCGCUCGGCGAGCCGGGG
rnacentral:tRNA from 1 species